UGGGGAUGCAGCUCUGUUGGAAU
rnacentral:miRNA from 17 species